CACUGGGUGGCAUAGUAGUUUGAGUGCUGAACUAUGACUCUGGACACCAGGGUUCGAUUCCCAACUCAGCCA